rnacentral:rRNA from 1 species
UUGAUUACGUCCCUGCCCUUUGUACACACCGCCCGUCACUGCCCGGGACUGAGCCGUUUCGAGAAAAGCGGAGACUGCUGUUUUGAUACCUUUCGAGGUGGAGAUUCUUUGAUGGAAACCGCUUUAAUCGCAGUAGCUUGAACCGGGCAAAAGUCGUAACAAGGUUUCCGUAGGUGAACCUGCGGAAGGAUCAUUA